rnacentral:rRNA from 1 species
UUAACGAGUUGAACGGGGUUGUAGCUGGCCUUCACGGGCAUGUGCACACCUCACUCAUCCACUCUACACCUGUGCACUUACUGUGGGUUUCGAGAGGCCGCGCUUGCGUGGUUGAUCGGGCUCACGUCUAUUACAAACUCUUCAGUAUCAGAAUGUGUAUCGCGAUGUAACGCAUCUAUAUACAACUUUCAGCAACGGAUCUCUUGGCUCUCGCAUCGAUGAAGAACGCAGCGAAAUGCGAUAAGUAAUGUGAAUUGCAGAAUUCAGUGAAUCAUCGAAUCUUUGAACGCACCUUGCGCUCCUUGGUAUUCCGAGGAGCAUGCCUGUUUGAGUGUCGUGUAAUUCUCAACCUAUAAAUCCUUGUGGUUUUUAGGCUUGGACUUGGAGGCUUUUGCUGGCUUUACCGUCGGCUCCUCUUAAACGCAUUAGCUUGAUUCCUUGCGGAUCGGCUCUCAGUGUGAUAAUUAUCUGCGCUGUGACCGUGAAGCGUUUGGCGAGCUUCUAACCGUCUCUUCGAGACAAACACUUUGACAUCUGACCUCAAAUCAGGUAGGACUACCCGCUGAACUUAAGCAUAUCAAUAAGCGGAGGAAAAGAAACUAACAAGGAUUCCCCUAGUAACUGCGAGUGAAGCGGGAAGAGCUCAAAUUUAAAAUCUGGCGGUCUUUGGCCGUCCGAGUUGUAGUCUGGAGAAGUGCUUUCCGCGCUGGACCGUGUACAAGUCUCUUGGAACAGAGCGUCAUAGAGGGUGAGAAUCCCGUCUUUGACACGGACUACCAGUGCUUUGUGAUGCGCUCUCAAAGAGUCGAGUUGUUUGGGAAUGCAGCUCAAAA